rnacentral:misc_RNA from 1 species
AUCAAACAGUCACGUGUUUGAUCGCUCAGAGAAAGAGGUCAUAACUGUAGGUAUAGUGACAUUCUGGCGCGCACGAUGCACAGCUGAGAACAAGAGGUCGAGAGGUGUACAUGUAGGAUCUAGUGUUAAUACCAGUCGGAGGCUGCUGAUUUAACAUUUUUUGGACAACUCGGCAAAAGGAUAACAGAGAUGCACCGGACAACCCUAAUACCGAUCACGGAGUUGAACCCCCAUCUUAUGUGCGUACUUUGCGGAGGAUACUUAGUGGAUGCUACUACCAUAGUGGAGUGUCUGCAUUCAUUUUGUAAAACGUGUAUAGUGAGCUACCUGAAAAGCUGUGAAUACUGUCCAAUAUGCGAUGUAAUGGUCCAUAAGACAAAGCCGCAUGUCAAUCUAAGGCCUGAUAAACAAUUGCAAGCACUAGUCUACAAACUUGUCCCUGGCCUUUUUAAAGACGAAAUGAAACGAAGACGUGAAUUUUACGCAGAUCAUCCUGAAGCAGGGCCAUCUACAAGAGCAGUAGAGGAGAGGGGAGAGGUGGAAGAGGAAUAUGUCAUUCACACCCUGGAUGAGAAAAUCAGUCUUUCUCUAGAAUACUUCAGUCAUUCCAAUGAGACGAAUCCUGUUCAAGAACACAUAGAUGCGACUGUAAGGCAGCAUUGGUCAACUAGGUAUCUGCUAUGUCCUGCAGGAUUCCUUGUGUGCCAUUUGAAGAAAUUCAUUAGGAUGAAGUUCCAGCUACCAAAAAAGUCAAAGGUAGAUAUAAUGCACUAUAAGGCCACAGAAGAAGUGCUAAAGGAUGAUUACACUCUCAUGGAUAUUUGCUACAUCUAUGCAUGGAGACGGGACAACCCACUGAGACUGUUCUAUUCCAUAGAAGACAUUAAAGAUGCUCCUCCUACAAAGAAAAUGAAGUUAACUCACCAACCUAUACUCUCAGAGAAAGUGCCAUCAGAGAAAGCUCAUGUGAAAGCCUCUGAAACUAGUGAUUCAAGUGCCAUUGAUAAAGACAUAAUCAUUGUUGAUGAAGCCCCAUCAUGCAGUGAUACAAAAACAGACAAUAUGGACAAAAUAAAUACUGAGGAAUCAGUAGCAGGGACCUCCAAUGAUAUUAACACAAGGACACAAAACGGUAAUAUGGAACAAGCAGAAAAUGUAACUGAAGAAGCAGACACUAUGAUUCAAAACAAAGUACCUGAUACACCUUGUGUGGAUACUAUUGACAAUUCAAAUAAAAUCGCUUCAUCAAAAGAGAACACCACAAAUGACACUGAAUUACCAGUAAGUGAUAAUUCAGGAAGUGUGUAUCAAUCGGGAGAGCCUCAAAUAACAGUUACGGAUAAACAUAAUGGCCCUGACAUAACUGUGGAGAAGUCUCACUCUAUAAGUAUAACAAAUGAAACACACACAGAAUCCACAGAUUAUGCCGACUCUCACAUGGAUACUAAUUUGAACCCUGAAUCUCAAAAUAAUAUUGAUGGUGAUCAUGAAGAGGAUGUUGACAUAAAUAUAAUGGAUAAUGAUGAUGAUGAUUAUUGUCCUGAAACUCCUCAAAGCCCUGAUCCCCCACAAAGCCCUAUGUUCACUGAUCCAAGUGGAUCAAAUGAUGAGACAGAUGAUACUGAUCACCCAUUGCAAAUCAAUUUGGAUAGUAUAGACAGUGCAACUGAUAACAAUGACUCUAAUGGCAUGGAUUGUACACCAGAUUCUCAGGUAUCUGAAACUCUUCCUGAAUCUGAACUUACUGACUGUAAUGUGACUCAUGCUAAUCAGGAUAUAUCUCAAAACAAUACUCAUGAACCAGCACAAUCUGGACAUGAAUCUACCCAUAUAGGUGCUACACAUGUGCCCCAUGUGAUCAAUGGUGAUACUGCAUAUUCCUACGACCCCACACAAGUACCAGGGGUUCAGAGAUCAGUACCAGCUCCUCACCAAAUGGAUAUGGGUCUUCAAGCUGGUCCUAUUCACUCUCCAAUCUUGGAGAAUAUUUUACCACCUCCAAAUCCAAUGUUAGCCCACCCUGUGAUAACUCAACCCAGCCAUAUAAUGGAGAAUGCACUUCCUCCAUUGAAUGCUUUAAUGCAGCAUAACACACAAACUAUGAACAGUAUUAUGGAGAACACUAACCGACUGGUUAGUACAUAUGGAGUUAACCCUCUAAUUGACAUUAUGGAUAGCAACACUAAUGCAAUAAAUAUGCUUCUACACAACCCGAGUGCAAUGAACUUAUUCGAUCAAAAUACAAUGAAUCGUAUCCAUGGUGAUCUACACACUCAAAUCAACCCGAUGAUACAAAAUCAUCCACAGGCAAUGAACAAUAUUUUGGAAAAUAUGAAAAAUAUUAGGUUCCCUGGACUUCAUAAUGGUUUACCUACCACAAUACCUCCAGAGCAAAUGCAUAAUAUUGGAGCCCCACAAAAUCAAGGAAUGCAUCCUAUGGUCAGCAUGAAAAACACCAAACUUGCAAAUCCAAUGGAAGUGCAGCACACAAUACCACCAUCAACAAUGAAUAACUUAGGUAUUAUACCCAACCCAACCCCACCUACUGUGUUAAAACCCACCAAGGACCAAACCAGCGCUACAAUGGAUUUAAUACCCAAAACACUGACCCCAUCAGCCAUUAACAACCAAACCUUACCAUUGGUUAACAGUAAUGGUACAACACUGAAUGAUACUAUGAUGAACAAUCAUGUACAAGAUACUAAUCACACAGCCCUCAAAGAAAUGGAUUAUAAUACACCCAUCCCAGCAUCUAUGAACCUCUCCACAACAACAUCAGUGCCGGACACUUCUAUAGCAAGCACAACUGAAUCUGUAAAUAGCACACCAGAUACUGGUAAAGACUCAGAGACUGAACAAGCUCAAAGUUCAUCCACAGAGAGCAGUCCUGAUAACAAUAACAAAGGUUCUACAAGUCCUGGGUUCACAUCAUUAGAGAAAUGUGAUGGCUGUGCAGCUAAUGCAGCAAAUGUUGGAGUAGCUAAAGCAAAAGCAAAGAGUGCCCAAACUGGUCGAUCUGGUUAUCAAAAUAGAAAGAGAAGAAGUAAGAACAAAGCAGCUGGUGUAAAGCAGCCAACAACUAAAGUAACUGCAUCUCAACUCAUCGCUGGAGUCAGUCUUAAGAAAACUGAUGGGUUGAAUAUCCCUCAACGACAAGUUGAAGAAGAUCCUGUUGUCAAACAGGAAUCAGAAGCAGACUCUCGGCCACAAUUAGGAAAUAACAAAACUCCAGAACCAACAAAUGCAUUGAAUUUGACAAUUAAAACAUCUCCUAAGGAUUUAACUGGUGACAAAGAAAGAGUGAGUGAAACUGAUAUUGAAAAUAUUAAUGAAGAAUCUAUGUCACCUACUAUACCAAUUUUAUCUAUGCCACAGUUCACAUCUGGCUCAUUCACAUCUAACCCAUCCCCAAUUACCAGUUCCUCAUACAUUGGAGGUAGGGUGGUAUCUAGUCAACAUCCAGGGGCCCGGAAGACCCCACUCCUAACUAAUUCCAGGAAAUCAAGAACCCGAACCCCUCCAAAAAAUACCAUAUAUAGUAAAGCUGCACAGAAAGAACAGACAAAAUUAAUUACUCCACAAAGCUUACAAUCGAUGACUCCAUUAUUGGAUAGUAUUAAAACAUCAGGUGCGUCAGUUCAAUUACUGAGCAUACCUAAACAGCAGCUUAUGAAUGGAGGACAAAUCUCUCUGCCAGUCAGCCUGACAGGAACUAAAGGCAAGACAAGUGCGUAUCUUUUGUCAACCCCACCGACCAGUUCAGGGGGGAACAUGGCCAUCAAACAAAUGCUACAAAUGCCUAUUCUAACCCCAACUGAAAACCCCUAUUGGUUGGUAACAAGUGGAAUCUCAAUGGCCCACAGGACACCUGUUACGUCACAGAAUGGACUUAAUACAAGCAGGAAUACAAUUCGCCCACCACCUAAUCAGGCAAAUAAAAGGACACAGCCAUUAAUAAACAGAAUCCCAGCCCAUUUGAACAGACCAUCGGCACCAAAGGAAACACCCAUGGCAUCCGAUUAUAUAAAAUCUGCCAUUCAAAAACUAAAUAGUACUUUGAAGCCACAAGAUGGAGUAAAAUAUUCAGAAAAUAAUACAACAAAACCUAAUGGAUUAAUCCAAUCAAAACCUCAAUAUGGAAUAAUGGGUAAAACUUUAACGAAUGCUUUACCAAAAGUGAACGGCCACAUGUCGAGCCGACCUGCCAAGUAUCAGAAACUGAAUGGCAUGAUGAGUGUGAUUACGAAGACCACACCUACCAUACUAAAUAAUGUGAACAAUUCUACAACUGACUCAAGCAGAAAUAUGAAUAACAAACGAACAAGGAGUGAUGUAUGAUUUGAAAUUACCCGACCAUUAUGUAACUCAUCUGCCAUAUAUUUUAUACAAACAGGAGUUUCAUCAGAAAAAAUUAAUGGAUAUUAUACUUUUAACGUAGAAACAGUCAUGAAAUUCCACAAGUCAACAAGCAAUUUUGGUGAAAUCUCCUGUUUCACAUAUUUGCUGAUGAAACUCCUGGUUAGUGCCUGAUAUAUGAAAUAUGCAAUCAAAACCUUUCAAAAUAGAGACCAUUUGUUGUCAUCAUGAUCCAUUUAGAACAUUCCUGUCCAUAACAACUGUAACAUUAUGAAACUGAUUCUAAUCAGUCUAACAGCAUUGAAAUUGUUUGCAAUAUUAUAUUCAACAAAAUGCUUGCAAUAUUAUGAUGACACUUUUCUACUUUUUCUAGUAAGUCUAUUUUUACAUUUAUAUAUGGUGCUGAAACUCAUGACAAUAGUGUUAAAUAGUGCACUAUGUCUUUCUGCCCCUCCCCCAGUUGCUAUUAUACAGUAUUUCCAUCACAUGAAAUGACAUGUUCACAUCGCUUCAAGACAGAAUACACAUCUUAUUUAUUUUAAAAGAAAACUAGUGAAGUCAUAUGGUUUUUAUAAAAUAACUGAAAUUUAAAUGUGAUAAUGUGAAGGCAUUUUCUUAAAAUGUCAAAACCUGGAAAAAUGGCAAAUAUGGGAUCACAAAAUAUGGUGACUUACAUUAUAUCAGGGCUUCUUGAUGGUAAAUUGAAAAUAAAAGCUUUUAUUUAAAAAAGUGAGCUUUGGGUGCAAUUAUGACUAAAACUUUAUGCAUGGGAAUGAACUAAUUUCACUAAAAGUUGGAAAAAAAUUGCAAACAAUUACUUGCAAUUUACUGUACUAAAGAGACAAAUUACAGGAAGUGUGUCUCUUCUUUCAAAAAAAAACAAUACAUUUGUCUGUUUUUUUAUAUAAUGUAUCUAAUCUUAAUUCCCUCAGCAUAAAAGUCAACAAUAGUUGCACUUAGCUUAGUGGAUUCUGUUACUAGGUUGAUAAAAAAUAGAAAUAAUUUUCAUGGUUAAAAUGGAAAAGUGUAAUGAUUUUGGACCUGCAUGGAAAUUAAAUGGAGUAGAAAGGCUGGAGGCUAGACUAGUAGCUUUACAAAAAUUGUCACAAUAUUCAUUUCACACUUCACUUCAAGGUAUUCCUUUUUAUGAUGAUCAAAAAAUGAAAAUGGGACUUCCCUUUUUUCAAUUCCAAUAAAUGUGGACAUUUCUGUACCUUAACUUUAUAACCUCUCUAUUUGAUCAAAUAUCUCAAUCAUUAAUGCUGAAAUUAAAUCCCUCCGAGUUACUUUAAUCCAAAAAGGUAACACGACUAAUGACAGCAAUAGUGGUAAUGUGAUAACAAUUAAUACAAUUGUUCACUAAAUGUCACCCUCAGUGUCCACAUGUCACUGUCAUAACUGACAAAAUCUUGUCACAGUUAAUGACUUAAUGUGACCAGUAUUGCAUGUUGAGAAAAUGAGAGCAGGUGCAUCAUUGAAAAACAUGUGGUCAUGUGAUCAUCAUGUGCUCACAUGUUGUAUGAUGAUUUAAUUAAACAUGUAAUAUUAAAAAUUAACAAAUUAUAUUCAACUAUAAAAUAUUUGUCUCAUAUUUUGAUCAACUUUCCAUCAAGAUAUUCAAAUAAGAAAAUCGCGAUGCCAUCAACAACACUUCUUAUGCAGUUAUGAUGAUGUAUGUAUUUUUGGUGUAAUAUAUGUGUCUAGGGGACAAAGUCAAUAUAUCAAUGUACGCUAACAAACAAACAUAUUUAAUAUUGUUAGGAGAUUGUGAUUUUUUGACAAAUUCUCUUUAACUUUGAAAAAGAAUAAACAAAUAUGCACUUAAAAAUUUGGGGGAGAAGGGGUCAAAUUUAAAUGUAAAUUAUUACGUUUUAGGGACAACAUUGAAGUAUUGACACAGUCCCUAAAUAAUAUAACAAAUUGGCUGCCAUAUAUUAUGAUUUAAUGCUCAAGUUCUGGCCAGUGAGACGCUUGCAAAUAUUGUUGUCAUGGUGCUGUGUAUGUUUGCUAUUGUGUCAUGUGAUAUUCAUUUGUUCACAUGUUGUACAAUGAUUUAAUUAACCAUGUAAUAUUAAAAAUAAACAAAAUGUAUUCAUUUAUAAAAUAU